ensembl:snoRNA
UUUCCCCUUUUAGCUUUGCCCUCUUAAGGCUCAUGGUGCUUUAAGUGGCCAACACAGAGGGGUAUAGUAAUUCUCUCUUAAACCCAGAGGUGAGAAUGAAGCUUUCCCCUGGAUCCUGUCGGGAGAAACAGCA